CGGGAGCAUGAUGUCAUCAGAACCCCUACAGUCACCAGGUGAAGAUCAGACUGUUUUUAGGGGAUUGUUCUGUCUACACCCACAGCAAUGCAGAGCAAAGCAAGCGCAGGUUAAAUGCCCUGAUUCAUUUCCCUCCUUUAGCUGACCUGCAUCAUCUCAUCACCUGGCAGACCUUCCUAAGGAGAUCCAUCACAGAAUACUACACCAGUCCGUUAUACUCACUCCGGUCUUCUCACCACUGGUCACGCUGGUUCCUCGACUUGUUCCUGUUUCGCCGUCCUCGGCUCCACCUCACGCUCCAAGCUGUGCUCGCCGUCCUCGGCGGUCCACCUCAUCACAGGCCUUCUACGCCGUCCUCGGCUCCACCUCUCGCUCAAAGCUGUGCUCGCCGUCCUCCGCGCUCCACCUCGUCACAGGCUGUGUACGCCGUCCUCGGCGCUCCUCUUCGUCCACGACUCUCAUCCCCUCUCAGAUUAAAACUUCUGACUCUG